rnacentral:lncRNA from 7 species
UUGAAGAGAUAAGCAUGAUUUGGGGUAAUGUGGGAUUUCAGGAAAUGUGAUUUGGGGUAAUGGGGUAUUUUGGAGGAAAUGCAAGAUUUGUGGAAAUGCGGGAUUUGCAAGAGAAAAUGCUGAUUUGGGGGUUAAAAGGGGGAUUUCUGAGGAGAAAAUGCAUGAGUUUCGUUUACAUGUGAGAUUUUUGUAGAGGAAAUGCGUGUUUUUUUGGAUACAUGGGGAUUCUUGUAGCAAAAAUGUUUGAUUUGGGGUCAAAUGGGGGAUACUUGAAGAGCAAAAGUGUGAUUUCCGAGUUAAAUGGGGGAUUUUCCUAGAGAAAAUGUGUGAUUUGGGGGAUAAUGGGGUAUUUUUGAAGAGAUAAAGCAUGAUUUGGGGGUAAAUGUGGGAUUUUCCAAGAGAAAAUGUGUGAUUUUGGGGAUAAUGGGGUAUUUUGGAGAGAAAAUGCAAGAUUUUGGAAUGGGAUUUUGCAAGAAAAUGCAUGAUUUGGGGGUAAA